UACAGAGGGUGCAAGCGUUAAUCGGAUUUACUGGGCGUAAAGGGCGCGUAGGUGGCAAUGUAAGUAAGAUGUGAAAGCCCUGGGCUUAACCUGGGAAGUGCAUCUUAAACUACAUAGCUAGAGUAUGGUAGAGGGUAGUGGAAUUUCCGGUGUAGCGGUGAAAUGCGUAGAGAUCGGAAGGAACGCCAGUGGUGAAGACGAUCUACCUGGACCAAUACUGACACUGAGGCGCGAGAGCGUGGGGAGCGAACAGG
rnacentral:rRNA from 1 species